ACUACGGGGGGCUGCAGUGGGGAAUAUUGCACAAUGGGGGAAACCCUGAUGCAGCGACGCCGCGUGAGUGAGGAAGUAUUUCGGUAUGUAAAGCACUAUCAGCAGGGAAGAAAGUGACGGUGCCUGACUAAGAAGCCCCGGCUAACUACGGGCCAGCAGCCACGGUAAUACGUAGGGGGCAAGCGUUAGCCGGAUUUACGGGGUGUAAAGGGAGCGGAGACGGGUAAUCAAGUCAGAAGUGAAAACCCAGGGCUCAACCUUGGGACUGCUUUUGAAGCUGAGUAGCUAGAGUGCCGGAGAGGGAAGCGGAAUUCCUGGUGUAGCGGUGAAAUGCGUAGAGAUUAGGAGGAAUACCAGUGGCGAAGGCGGCUUACUGGACUGUAACUGACGUUGAGGCUCGAAAGCGUGGGGAGCAAACAGGAUUAGAUACCCUUGUAGUC
rnacentral:rRNA from 1 species